rnacentral:rRNA from 1 species
CGUGCCCUAAGCGGGCUUUUACUGUUAAGAGUAACACGUGAGCAACCUGCCCCGAAGUCCGGGUUAACACCGGGAAACCGGUGCUAAUACCGGAUGCCCCCACCGGGUCACCUGGUUUGGUGAGGAAAGAUUUAUCGCUUCGGGAGGGGCUCGCGGCCUAUCAGCUUGUUGGUGGGGUAACGGCCCACCAAGGCUUCGACGGGUAGCUGGUCUGAGAGGACGACCAGCCACACUGGGACUGAGACACGGCCCAAACUCCUACGGGAGGCAGCAGUGGGGAAUCAUGCGCAAUGGGCGAAAGCCUGACGCAGCAACGCCGCGUGGGGGAUGAAGGCCUUCGGGUUGUAAACCCCUUUCAGCAGGAACGAAAUUGACGGUACCUGCAGAAGAAGCCCCGGCCAACUACGUGCCAGCAGCCGC